ensembl:lncRNA
CACCUCUGCAGCUAUGAUAGGCCAAGGACUGUUUUAAACUCCUAACUGUGUCACAGCAAUUGACUGACUGAAAGCAGCCAUUCUGUGAGUAGUAGUAGUUACUCAGGAGAUAAAUAUCUUCAAGGCUUGUCCUUUCUAGAGAAAAUACUAGUGAGCCCACCACUGAUAACGCUGCAUUUUGUGCACCGCAGGCAGUAACACUGGAAGCUGUGCUGUGUCUAGCUCACUGCCAGCAGCACUUCAAAAGUCACCAUGCUUAGGCUUGUUGUUAGCCAGGUAGACAACACGGGGCAUAAAACACUGGAGACAGCAGGUUUAUGCUGCUGCUCCAUUAGCUGCUGCCUAUGAAGUUUCUUUUCUGGUACUCACAAGAGUAAGCAGUCCAAAUCCAUCCUGAGCAGGUAAUUAAAAGUAUCAUGAAUUGACUUAUCUGAGGAAAGCCUCAGGCUAUGAAGAUACAAACACAAGGUGCUUCAGUUAGCAAAGGCAAGCAGAAGAAAGGGGAAAUAAUAAAUUGAAAUUUUCAGUUCUUUCAUGUUCAGUCUUUUGGCCUUUAGGUACCUUGAGAUCAGUCCGGAAAUAUUUAUGUAAAAACUCUGUAGUUCUUUCCAACAAUUCAACAUCAAAAUCAACAGAUUUCUGUUUGAUGUAGAACUGACAACACUAUAACCUGCUCCCAGGAAAGGGUUGCAAAUAAAACUAUAUACAUCAACACGAGAGAAGGUAAUGUAAUGACUUGUCCCUUCCCCAAAGCAGCAAAGAGCAACUAGAAAAAAAGCAGGACCAAGAUUUUCAGUGCUUACAUUAGAAUUAACAGAAAAGAAACUAAAUAUGUGUAGAUAAAUAUGUAUGUACAUAUAAACAGAUAAACUAGUGUCCAGGAUAAUAAAUGAACAACAAUCAGUAAUAGAACCAGCAGGUUUAUAUCUGAAAGACCUGUUUAAUUAUUCCUUUUCACUUUAUAAGCUCUUCUUAAUUAUUUUUUAAAGCAUUUCAAUUAUAAAUGCAGAACGUAUUUUUAUGUGUGGUAGAGGGAAAAGGACCAGGAAAACUCAUCAUAAUCCAUUAUUAAACGUUCAGAUGUGAAAAAGAGCAGUAGGAAGAAUGCAGCUGCGUGUGCACUUGGCUUGCUUCUACAAAGAUGUGCAGCAGAGGGCACCACAGAUGGCACACAGGAGAGUGCUGCUUUGAAGCUGUUAGGCUCUGCUCCGUAAUUACACAGCUCUGAUAAAACAGGUACGAUUGGGCGCAGAGACAGAAGUUGCUCAGCCAUGGGAAGACCCGCCAUGCUCUCCCUCUCACUGGCCACGCCAUGGAUCUGUGCAGCAAUGGAGCACCUGAAUGCAGUAAUGGAGGAGAAAGAAGAAAGCAUUGCCAUCCUUCUAUUUUGCCAAGAGGAGGAAAACAGCAUGGAGCCAUACGACGCAGAAAAAUGUCUGCAUGCUGAGAGCGGUGCUGCACACAGCUCGUGUCCUGUGCGUGAAUUUCGUUUGCAAAAGAACUGCCGGGAUUGUUCUGCAAAGAGCACCCACUCCUCCAGCCCGGCCCUCCCCGGGCGCUCUCACUGCUUCGCUUCCUCCUUCUGGCUGUGAAGUCUGAAAGGAGCUCACGGAGGAGCAACGGGAUCAGUGCUCCCCUCUCACCCUCUGCUGCAGAAGAAGAAAGAGGUUUGAUUAAGUCCUCUAAAAGUAUUAAGGCUGAAUCAGACCACAAAAAGGAAAACAAACAAACAAACAAACAAACCCGUGCUCUAUGCUCACAAAAAAUGUCACCUUCCUAACGGCUGCAGUCAAAUCCUUUAGAGCCGGUAUUUACAAUCAAAUGUAUUCAAAUAUCUCCGAGCCCUAACGCAGAUGACACCAAAAGGACCAUUUGCUAUAACUUAAACAAGUGCUCUGUAGUUCUCGGUUUAGCUCCUAAGGAAAACCGAAGGAAGGACCUACUGCCAGGGAUGCACACACACACACACACACACACACACACACACACACGCAUAUUUCAUCCAACCCACCGCUACCAGCCCCGGGUCGCACUGAUUAACACUUUUCACGUAAACACACUUUUUCUUCCUUGAAAUGUUAAUGCCUGCUUAGUGCAAGGUGAAAGUCUAUCCAAAGACCGAAUCCCUUAAGAGUGUUAAUUAAACAGGACAAUAAUAAUCCACCGGUGAUUUAUGGCGAGGUGGAUGACUAGACCAUAGUGGUUGGUCUGAUAGGCAUUUAUUGCCUACUUAACCAUUUAAGUAUAACAAAAAAAAUCAUUGUGGUACAAAAGGUGAUGAAUGUUGCUGCUAAAACAGUCCAUUAAGAUGAUUCAUUAACAUUACAAAGAGGUCUGCAGCCUCUGUGCCACUUGGAGCCCGUAAAAGUCUGGGAAAGUGAGAGACAUUACCAUAGGAAAUGCUUUAUGCUAAAUGCGUGCUGAUAGAAUCUGAAGUCCACUUUCUGCAGAUAACAUCACUUUUUACAUUUUGCACUACAAGGUCCGAGGAUGCUUUGUACUUCUUAUUUCUGCAGCUAGAGAAUGUAUCUUCCUAACAGAGCAGCGCGGGAGGAGAGGAGUAAUAAAAGUCACAAUGCUCUGGCACACAUCUGAGCCUUUCAUACUUCCCUUUGAACUGAUGUCACUGGAAUGCCGAACCGCUGGUUGCACCACUGCGGAGCGACCGAGAGCCAUGAGUUAUAGUCACAGUGGUUACAACUUUAUUAAAUGCACACCAAGAAAAGCUACUACAAUGAUCUUCCCAGGUCAAAUAACAGCGGAUUCCUGCUGUGGGACAGCAAGGAGAUGUGCCACGGAUGGAUGAUACAUGAAACAGUAUAAGGGUUAAAUCAGAGUGUAAAUGUAUCUAAAAAUACCAAAUUAUGAUCUCAGUACCUUCCUAACAAGUGAUUCCCAGUAACUAAUGAAGCCUGACUCCUUAUGGAUUUAUGCCACAUCUCUCACACCUCCCCAUCAGAACAACACCCACUGUCCUCUGCCAUAGCUGUGCUGUAAUAACGCCCCGGUGUCCCUUAGCCAGCCCCAGGCUUUUUGGAUUUGCCAGCUGAAGAAAACAGUGCAUUUGCUAAGGAGUGAUAGAGUGAUCUGCAAAUCAGAAUCAUUUGCUGCUGUCAGCCAUGAUGAAGAAUUGCUAAAUUCUGCCUUCUUCUCGAUGGGAGCAUUAAUAAGAACUCCCUCCUCUUGGUAGGUGCUAACUCUUGCAAAAUUGCUAAGGACACAGCACCUUUGAAACUCCUCUGCAACCUGUGACAAAUGUGUCAGCAUAUUGGAAACUGGGUCAGACAAAUAAGGAGAUUGUGUAAGCAGUUCCCCAGGGAGCCAGACGAAGAGGCAUGAUAGGAUCUCCACUGACCAGAAGUUGCUAGAGUCUUGUUUAUGUACUUCAUCUGAGGUGGAGCAUCCCCCAGUGCUUCCUCAAUUACAGGAAGUGUGUGCAGCACCUGUUCAGACUACCUGGGCUAGCUGCAAACAAGCUAGACUGGGUUCCAGGAGCACAGGACACUUGCUAACAAAUUCUGCUUCUCAGUAUGUAAUUAGCCUACUUUACUUCUCAGUAAAUGAAUUAGCACAGCUACACUACA